GAUGAACGCUAGCUACAGGCUUAACACAUGCAAGUCGAGGGGCAGCGUGGUCUUAGCUUGCUAAGGCCGAUGGCGACCGGCGCACGGGUGAGUAACACGUAUCCAACCUGCCGUCUACUCUUGGACAGCCUUCUGAAAGGAAGAUUAAUACAAGAUGGCAUCAUGAGUCCGCAUGUUCACAUGAUUAAAGGUAUUCCGGUAGACGAUGGGGAUGCGUUCCAUUAGAUAGUAGGCGGGGUAACGGCCCACCUAGUCUUCGAUGGAUAGGGGUUCUGAGAGGAAGGUCCCCCACAUUGGAACUGAGACACGGUCCAAACUCCUACGGGAGGCAGCAGUGAGGAAUAUUGGUCAAUGGGCGCAGGCCUGAACCAGCCAAGUAGCGUGAAGGAUGACUGCCCUAUGGGUUGUAAACUUCUUUUAUAAAGGAAUAAAGUCGGGUAUGUAUACCCGUUUGCAUGUACUUUAUGAAUAAGGAUCGGCUAACUCCGUG
rnacentral:rRNA from 1 species